AUCUUUCCAAGCCUCUUCAGCAAUGAGCUAUAAGGGGUGGGAUAAAUGUCUUAUUUAGGGAUGAGCCCUUAACCAUCCUUUAUUUUCAGCAUUUCGUGUAGCCAUGGGCCCCUUGGAUUCACCUCCUUUUGCUGUGAAAAGAGUUUCUCUGAUUAAGUCUGAGAGAAGCUUUUAUCUGUGGGUGUGCCUGUACUCACAUUAACAAUGUUUUCUGGCAGAGCUCACUACCUCACAUAGGAAUCACAGGAUCCCUUAGACCUGAAUUGCAGCACUUCUAAAGACGUCCAACAGACUAACAUAUUAUUUACAAAGUAGUGUGUUAUGGCAACGUACUUAAUGCAAGUCACAACAGGCUGAGACUCAACACAGAAGUACAGGGUGUCAAAACAGGAAAUGUAAUCAUCUGUCAAUAAAGA